UUUGAAAAGAGAGAUUAAAGCUCAUCAGACACGUUUUGGAAGAGCAGAAGAACGAUCAAUCAAAACAGAGUAUUUCGAAUCCAACUUUUGAGGUUAUGUUCUAGACUCAUAGAUCUAUGUUUAUCAGAAAGCGGAUCAUCAUUUGGAUUUUUCAUCUAAUAGUUAUGGACAUUUCUUUGGGGCUACUCGUUGUAGAUCGGAUCCGCCGAUAGUCAACUUCAUCGGUGUUUUCCCGUUGAUCUAGAAGGAACCAGCAAACGAGCGAGAUAUCAUCAGAAAGAUCUCGUUGUCAGCUUUCCAUAUCAUCUUCCCGAUCGUAAAACCAAGGCACGGUUGGAAAGUUAUCGACGUUGCUUCUUGGCCAAGGAUAAGCUGAAGCUUUAGUGAUGCAGAUACAGUUCCGACCAGUCUCAGCGUAAAGGCCAAACGGCCGAUCUAAACGAAAGCUUUCAAUCUGGAAAUUUGUCAGUAAGUAGUUCACUCUUUUAUCUAUCGUCUCCAAGAAGCGGAUUGUCAUUUCGAGUAAUUUUCUGAAAGUUGUGUUUGUUUUCGCGAGAGGUAUUACUGCAGUCUUCGUUUGCGACCAGUCUGGAGGAGAAGUUAAUUUGGUUAAUCAAAUGGUGUCCGAUCGGAGUAAACUCGGUGUCUAUGGACAGAGGACAUCUAGGACUACAUUCUGACCGUACGGAUUGAAAAGUCAACGGUCAGUUCUCGAGAUAUUCAUCCGUUGUCUUUAGAGUUCAGUUCUGCCAGAAUCAUCACAUUCAUUUAUCUUCAGAGAGUUCCGGAGUUGCUGUUUCAGAGUCGUCAAUGUUCAUUAUGUGUUUUCUCAGGUUAUCUUUAGAACCCAUGGCAAAGGUGAGCUAGCCGAGCAGGAGUGAUUGCUUUCGGUUUGGUGCUUUGGGAGUUUUAUUUCUUAUUUUCAUACUUCGAUUUUACGCUUUUAUCGAUAUUUUCCGGGAUUUAUUUUAUUUAUGCUAUUAUUGGAUUAUGGUGUUGAGUUUGACUUUUGAGAAGUAAUAAAUUGAGACUUUUAUGAGAUUA